rnacentral:rRNA from 1 species
AUUGAACGCUGGCGGCAUGCCUUACACAUGCAAGUCGAACGGCAGCAUGAUCUAGCUUGCUCGAUUGAUGGCGAGUGGCGAACGGGUGAGUAAUACAUCGGAACGUGCCCUGUAGUGGGGGAUAACUAGUCGAAAGAUUAGCUAAUACCGCAUACGACCUGAGGGUGAAAGUGGGGGACCGCAAGGCCUCAUGUUAUAGGAGCGGCCGAUGUCUGAUUAGCUAGUUGGUGAGGUAAAGGCUCACCAAGGCGACGAUCAGUAGCUGGUCUGAGAGGACGAUCAGCCACACUGGGACUGAGACACGGCCCAGACUCCUACGGGAGGCAGCAGUGGGGAAUUUUGGACAAUGGGCGAAAGCCUGAUCCAGCAAUGCCGCGUGUGUGAAGAAGGCCUUCGGGUUGUAAAGCACUUUUGUCCGGAAAGAAAUGGCUCUGGUUAAUACCUGGGGUCGAUGACGGUACCGGAAGAAUAAGGACCGGCUAACUACGUG